rnacentral:pre_miRNA from 1 species
UAAGUAUCCCCUCCGUCCCAAAAUUCUUGUCUUAGAUUUGUCUAAAUACGGAUGUAUCAAGUCACAUUUUAGUAUUAGAUACAUCCGUAUCUAGACAAAUGUAAGACAAGAAUUUUGGGACGGAGGGAGUAUGUA